AUCGUGAAGACCACAGUUUCCUGUCGCGUGGAUGUGUUUCCUCUCUGGCCAUUGCCAUCCGCCCAAAUCUACAGACAUCCCGCAUGUUCCCGGGCUCGUCUCCCCAAUACAGGGCACCAAGCAUCCUACCAAGGCGAAUCCAUUGACCAGGAUUUAAGUUGAGACUCCCCCAGGACCCCGGGUGCAGCAUCUGGGUCCCCCUGCCCCGCCCUGCCUUGCGCCGCAGCCGCUUCCGUUGUCCUGCCAGGCUGUAGACUGCGCAGCCCUCCUGGAGACAGAUGGAAGCUCCUUGGGUCGACAGAUUACAGCUUCUGGAACCCCCUACUCCCUUCAACUCCGAGAUGGACACCCACUGUCCAGGGAGAGGAUGCCUGGAAAUAACAGCUGGGAUCUACAGUGGCCAAAGAGUUGUCUCCGUCUUGCUACAUCGACAAACUGGUGCUCCUGAGUGAGGAUUGUGCCCUGGGAUGGGGGAUUCAGUUUCUUCAUUUAUAGUUGGAAGUGGGUGAAGUGCCAGGAGCGACGGUACACUCCAGAGUGCUGUGCCCUGAUGGGCCUUUGAGUGGCCAGUGCAGUGGAUCAUCAGCCCUGUCUCCCAAGAGCUCCAGUCCCUUCUCCGGAGAGGAAGUGGGUCCACUGGCAGCUCAGGAGGCCAUAGCAGCCUUACGGAAGUGUGGGUGGCGCUUUCUGGAAGCUGCACAAGUCAGUGCUGGGUCUUCGCAACUUGGUGUUCUGUUUCCAGAAACUUGGGGUGUUUGCAUGUGCUAGGUCAGCACAGAUUUCCAAAGGAUCUCUAGGAUUGUCACGUGUGCUCAACAGUCCUCCUCGGCUUUCCAGAAGAGGCUGGAACAGGGCCCUUGAAGAUGUUUGUGGACAUCAGAGGGCCAAAGACGACACAAAGUGAAACUGGAGACACCGCCCCCCCUUGGCAUCAUGAAACUGCCGAUGUUACUGGCUCAUGCAUGGGAGACACCAGCAUACAAAGUCUUGACACCAACACCUCAGAGGGCUGUGUUCUGUCCCCGUGACCAUCAUCUAGUGCCUGGAAAGACUAGUGACAAGAACUUGUUGCCAACUUCCUAUUACCUCCCUAACAGUUGUGCAAUAAACCCCAUAGGUUAAUUCA
rnacentral:lncRNA from 1 species